rfam:Ictidomys tridecemlineatus contig011025, whole genome shotgun sequence.
GGGGUUGUGGCUCAGCAGUGGAGCGCUCGCCUAGCACGUGUGAGGCCCUGGGUUCAAUCCUCAGCACCA